rnacentral:lncRNA from 1 species
AAAGAGCUUGCACGGUAAGGCUGACCCUAAUGCUUUACUUGGAGCCUUUCUGUCACCAAGGGAACAAACCUGCUCUAGCUAGUUGGAUGAUGGGAAAUAUGUGCUUCAGUCUCUGCAAGGCCCCAGUAAACAGCCAACACUGCCAGAGGCACCUAGUAAAGUCCCUGCAGCUGGCCACAGGUACAUAGACAAGCCCUAUGAAGAUCAGCAAAAUUGCCCAACUGAGCCCAACCAAAUUGGACGUCAGUGGAUAAUAGGCAUCAGCAUUACUUGGAGCUUAUUGGGAAUAUGGAAGUUGGGUCCCACCCUAAAGCUAGACGCCCGACUGAGAGUUUCAACUGGAUCCCCAGUGAAUCCCACCAGCCCCCCUAGAUGUGAUGCCUCAACCUUGGACCUGCCAGCCUCCAGAACCAUAAACCAAAACAAACCUCUUUCCUUUAUACAGCACCCGGUCCCAGGUAUUCUAUUUUAGUAACAAAACAUGGACUAAGCCAAUAACAAAGAACAUGUUUGAAAGUUUAUAAGCAAGAAGAGCAACAACAACAACAAAAAUAAAAGUGCUUGCUAGAGAGAACAUCUUCCUUG